rnacentral:rRNA from 1 species
UACGUAGGGCGCGAGCGUUGUCCGGAUUUAUUGGGCGUAAAGAGCUCGUAGGCGGCUUGUUGCGUCAGCUGUGAAAACCCGCAGCUCAACUGUGGGCUUGCAGCUGAUACGGGCAGGCUUGAGUUCGGUAGGGGAGACUGGAAUUCCGGGUGUAGCGGUGGAAUGCGUAGAGAUCCGGAAGAACACCGGAGGCGAAGGCGGCUUGCUGGGCGUGAUCUGACGCUGAGGCGCGAAAGCGUGGGGAGCGAACAGG